ensembl:lncRNA
AGGGAAUCGUGUGAGUUGUGCCUCCUCCUGUCAGACACAAUCCGGCUCUGCACCUGAAACACAUUCCUGUCACGUCGUAGUUUGGAGGCCUGAAAUGGAAAUCCGCUUUGUGUUGACUCAGCCACUUCCAGGGAAUGACCUCACAAGAGUUUGUGCAUCGGCCGUUUUCCUUCAGCGUGGAACUGCAUUGCAGAUGAGAUCGAUGACAGAAGACGACGGUUAACUAAAGAGUCAAUCCACUGCCACAAGAGCGAGAGUGCAUCUCCAUCCAUGUUGGUCAAGCUGGUGUCCUGCUGGGAGCUCUGGUGCCCAGUGCAGACAGAUGCCCAUCAGCAAGACCAUCGCAGGAGGAGACGACUCCUUCAACACUUUCUCCAGUGAGAGCGGAGCCAGAAAGCAUCUGGACCUGGAGCCCGCUGUCGGUGAGUGUAAUCGCUUCUGGCUGAGCAAUAACGUAACUCAGAAAUUCAAGUGUAAAUGUGGCUGCCUGUGAUGAAGUAUUUUUGUCUCUUCAGAUGAGGUGGACAGGGGG